UAAACAAAAAAUGUGCACUUAAUCAAAUUAUCACAUAAAAUUGUAAAAAUCUCAAAUUUAGGGAUUCUACCAUAAGGACUCUCUCAUUUGAGGCAAUGUUCCUUUAGGGACACAAAGAUUCCCUUUAAGUGCUUAAAUGAGUACUCAAAGGUGUUGGUAGGAGUACCUAAAUAGGAACUCCCAUUGGAGAUGCUCUUUGUUAUUUGUGUAUAAUUAAUUUUAUAAUAAAACCUCAACUUUCUUUAUUAUCAAGUCUGUUAGUUAUUUGUGUCUAACCGGAAUUUAACCAUACAAUAUCGGUUGAAGGAUAGGAAACAACAGAAAGAGCAAAGAUAUGGAUAGUGGUUUUUCUUGUUUGGCAGAAUUCCGUCGGCAGCUAUAUAUUGUUCCUUUCCAGUACCUCCCUUACUUUAGGUUUUGAUAAUGGAAAGGGUUUGGGUAUUUGAGAUUUUAUUUAGAUUAUAUUUUAACGGAUAAGUAAUAUGAACUUUUAAUAGAUCACUUAACCGACAUAGAAGUAACUAAUGAAAUUUACCGACCACAUACACACACCAUAUAUGUAUAUGUAUAUAUGUGUGUGUGUGUAUCUGUUUAUAGAAUGAUGAAAUUUACAGACCAUGUACACACACAAUAUAUAUACAUACAUGCAGAUAUAUAUAAUAUAUAUAUAUAUAUAUAUAUAUAUAUAUAUAUAUAUAUAUAUAUCUCUUUAUAGAACGUGAUCCCUCCAAGUUAUAAUAAUGUUCGUAAAAGAUAAUUAAAAGGUUGUUUACAAUCCUUGAAAGUUAUCGUACACUUCUUUUUUCUUAUAUCAUUUUAAGUACUAAUUAGGGCGCAUGAUUAACGUUUUGUAAGUAUGGAUAACAACUUCCAAAAAUAACAGUGAUGAAGAACAACCGGCUUUUAUUCAUAAACAAUAAAAGGAAUAAGAAACUGUCCUUCAUUAAUGCAAAAAAUCUCUUCUUAGUUUUUUGGUUUUUUUUUUUUUUGGGGGGGGGGGGAUGCGAAAAAUUUUCUUUUGAAAUAUUAGAAAUCAAAUAAUUUAGAAUAGGUAUGCAAAACAGAGAAACAAAAAAGUUAAAAUAGAAAGUUGUUAUUUGCAUCUUUUAAAAUAAUUUACAGUAUAAAGUUUCUAUCGAACUACCAAUUCAAGAAGAGAGAAAAAAAACGAACAACCGCAUAGAUAUUCCUGAAUCAUGGCGGAAUUCAAUGGUAUUUUGUUACCAGUUUUAACAGCAACAAAAUGUGAACCCAUUCAAAUUAUCUGAGAAAAUAAAUAUUUUUUUCUUGACACUGUUUUAUUGUGUAUUAAAAUACACAUGUUAUAUUAGUGAACGAUAAAUUUAUACUUUUAAAUUUGAUAUUUGAUAUAAUUUACAUGUUAUAAUGAUCCAACUCUUUUAAUUAUUACAUCGUUAUUUUCAUAUCAUAUGGCUUUAUGGGCAUCUAGGCAUUUAUACAAAGAGACGCGGAAAACCCGUGUGAACCAUAUUCUUGUACAGCAAAAGCAGUUUCAGAACCUGAAUCUCUCAAGUGAGGUUAAGAGGAUAAAAUCAACCUUGAUAAUGGUAAGGUAUCAUAGGAUGAAGUUGCAAGUUGAGUUUGCAUAGGAUGCUCUCUCUGUAAUACAUUUUCUGCUUGCAUGGGGCCAUCAAUUAUUGAUGAGAUGCUUGUUUAUCAUGUGAAAGUUGUACAGUGAACACACAAGUUGAGCUAGGUAACAAAAUUUGAAACCCAGGUCAAAUUCCUAAUUAAAGUAAGUGUUUUAAGUUAUAUAUACAAUAUAGCAAGCCAUGUACGUUGGCAUCAUAAUGGGAGGAGCGAUAUAUCUCAGGCCCAAAUAGUUGACCUAAGUACAUUUCUUAAUGUUUAAUGAUGAGAUGACAAAAUGAAAUCAUUAUGCAAAAAUGCCUAUUUUUCACUGUUUUUCAAGUGAAAAAUAAAAUAAAAUAAGGAUAUAUAUUAACCCCUUUAAUAUGGAGGUCAAACUGAAUUUACAUAUUUGUUGAGAUAGGUAAAAUAACGGUAUAAUGGGGUUUUUUUUCCGUGUUGUGAAAAACAUGUAAUUAACUGAAUUACAUAACACACUAUUUAUAGAAAAUUAACUCUAAUUCUUAAUAGGCAAUGAACCCAAAUUAACCUACAAGAAAACUCUAAUAUGUAAAAUACCCUAAAAAUAUAAAUAAUAUGAUAAACCUAAAACACUAAUGUUUUCCAACACUUUAGUUGCAAGAAUUUAUUCUUACUACGGGAGUAGUAAUGUUCUCAAAUGCAGUGGUUGAGCAAGUUUUUUUGUUCGUUGUAAAAGAAACACUGCUGGCUGGGGAAGUAGUUUUGUUUCUUAGUUGUCAGGUUUCACACUUAAUUUGGCCUUCAUAGAGGUUUAGUAAAUUCUUUUGUGAAUCCUUUUGUUUGUUAAUUAUCAAGUGCGAUUGUUGCCUUAUGCCAACAAAAAGACAUUGUAUUUAGAAUAGAUUAAGUGUAUAUUGAAUACUUGCACCACAAGUAAUAAAUUUUCUUUAUAAGGGAACGUGCCAAUGUUUGGCUCACGUUUGGUUCUUUUUAAUGCCUUAUCUAUUAAGGACCUUAACUGUUUCUCAAUAUUAGACUAGAAACUACUGAUUUAGGGUUAAAUAUAAACUGGUUAUAUUCAAGCACGCCACUUUAGUUAUUCACAAAGUAAAGACAGAAGUGACAAAAAAUAGUAAAUAAGUGAAAUUGAUAUUAAUAUUGUUGAAUAUCACUAACACUCGUACAAAAACAUACUUGCGCGAUGGAGAAAAUUCUGUCACGCAAAGUAUGUUUGCGCAACAGUGACAACAAAACGUCAAGCAAAGGCAUUUUGCGCAACAGAAGUUUGCAUUACUAAGACCGUCGCCAUGGAA
rnacentral:lncRNA from 1 species